rnacentral:rRNA from 1 species
AACGAACGCUGGCGGCAUGCCUAACACAUGCAAGUCGAACGAGACCUUCGGGUCUAGUGGCGCACGGGUGCGUAACGCGUGGGAACCUGCCUUUAGGUUCGGAAUAACUCAGAGAAAUUUGAGCUAAUACCGGAUAAUGUCUUCGGACCAAAGAUUUAUCGCCUUUAGAUGGGCCCGCGUAAGAUUAGCUAGUUGGUGGGGUAAAGGCCUACCAAGGCGACGAUCUUUAGCUGGUCUGAGAGGAUGAUCAGCCACACUGGGACUGAGACACGGCCCAGACUCCUACGGGAGGCAGCAGUGGGGAAUAUUGGACAAUGGGCGAAAGCCUGAUCCAGCAAUGCCGCGUGAGUGAUGAAGGCCUUAGGGUUGUAAAAGCUCUUUUACCCGAGAUGAUAAUGACAGUACCGGGAGAAUAAGCUCCGGCUAACUCCGUGCCAGCAGCCGCGGUAAU